GCUGGAACCAGGUUCGUGUUCGUGGGUAUCGGAUACGAUAUUUCCUACGAGCUUUUGGAAACACUAACCCACAGGCCAGGGGACAUAAUUUUGUUGAAUAGUGUCAAGGACAAUGCCUGGUUUCCACAGAAAUUCUUAGCUAGCAAUCUCUGUACAGUAUCUAAAAAGAAAAAGAAAUCUUAAAGGUCGAGAUGGAUGUUCUUCUUUGAAGGAAACAUUUACAUCGGAAAUUACUUUGUAUUUGAAAAUAAAUAUUUAGAACAAUAUGUCAUCACCGCUUAAUAAACAUAAGUGCAAAACUG